AUGAAAAAAUCGCCGUUGCCGGUGCAAAAUGUUAACCGCUCCGAUAAGAACUUCGCCGGAAAAGAAGCACUGGUGAAGCUAUUGCGAUGGCACUUCGGCCAUGCAGAUUUCAGAGGGAAGCAGCUAGAGGCGAUUCAAGCGGUUGUGUCAGGAAGGGAUUGCUUUUGCUUGAUGCCGACGGGAGGAGGGAAAUCGAUUUGUUACCAGAUACCUGCGUUGGCUAAACCUGGAAUCGUGCUUGUUGUUUCUCCCUUGAUUGCUUUGAUGGAGAAUCAAGUGAUGGCGUUGAAGGAGAAAGGUAUUGCUGCUGAGUAUCUCUCGUCCACUCAAGCUACACAUGUUAGGAACAAGAUCCACGAGGACCUUGAUUCUGGAAAACCUUCUGUGAGAUUGCUGUAUGUAACUCCAGAAUUGAUCGCGACAAAAGGAUUUAUGCUGAAGCUGAGAAAGCUCCAUCACAGGGGUUUACUGAAUCUUAUAGCCAUAGACGAGGCACAUUGCAUCUCUUCAUGGGGCCACGACUUCAGACCUAGCUAUCGUCAACUUUCAACAUUAAGAGAUUCUUUGGCUGAUGUUCCAGUCUUGGCUUUAACCGCUACAGCUGCUCCUAAGGUACAAAAAGAUGUUAUUGAGUCCUUGAGUCUGCGGAAUCCUUUGGUCCUCAAGUCUUCUUUCAAUCGCCCAAAUAUCUUCUAUGAAGUUCGGUACAAAAAUCUUAUAGAUAAUGCUUAUACUGAUUUGUGCAACUUGCUCAAGUCAUGUGGAAAUAUAUGUGCAAUCAUCUAUUGCCUUGAGCGUACAACCUGUGAUGACUUGUCUCUUCAUCUUUCCAGUACUGGGAUCUCUUCUGCUGCCUAUCAUGCAGGACUGAAUAGUAAUCUGAGAAGUACCGUAUUAGAUGACUGGCUGUCCUCGAAGAAGCAAGUUAUUGUCGCCACCGUGGCUUUCGGAAUGGGUAUAGAUAAGAAGGAUGUCAGGAUGGUUUGCCACUUCAACGUUCCAAAAUCGAUGGAAUCUUUCUACCAAGAGUCCGGCAGAGCAGGUCGGGAUCAACUACCUUCAAGAAGUGUAUUAUACUAUGGCGUAGACGAUAGAAAGAAAAUGGAGUUUCUACUACGAAACUCGGAGAAUAAGAAAUCCCCAUCCUCAUCCUCAAAGAAGCCUACAUCCGACUUCGAGCAGAUUUUGAGAUACUGCGAAGGUUCUGGAUGCCGAAGGAAAAAGAUUCUUGAGAGCUUUGGUGAAAAGUUUCCCGUACAGCAAUGCAACAAAACGUGUGAUGCAUGUAAGCAUCCAAAUCAAGUUGCUCGUAGCUUGGAGGAGCUCACGACUACCGCCUCCCGAAGACACAACUCUUCUCGAGUUUUCAUCACCAGCUCGAGUGAUAAUAAGACCAAUGAAGGGCAGUACUCUGAGUUCUGGAAUCGUAAUGAAGAUGGAAGCAAUUCCGACGAGGAAAUAUCAGAUUCAGAUGAUGGAGCUGAUGUUGUCAAAAGCCUAGCAGGACCUAAACUAUCGAGGAAGCUGGGAGUAGAUGAGAAACUGGUUUUACUGGAGCGGGCUGAGGAAAAGUACAACGAGAGCAAUAAACAGGUCAAAAAGUCAGAGAAGAAUGCAAUAUCUGAAACACUAAGGGAAUCAAGCAAGCAGAGACUCUUGAAUGAGCUUACAAAAGUACUUCAACUGCUCGGUGUUAAAGAGAUUGAGUCCCAAAACGCAUCUGAGUUUCUUGAAAACGAGUGCUAUAGAAAAUACAGCAAAGCAGGGAAAUCGUUUUACUACUCACAGAUAGCGAGUACUGUGAGAUGGUUAGGAACCGCAACCAGAGACGAGCUAAUGACCCGACUUAGCUCAAUGGCCAGAGAAGAAGAAGAAGAGCCAUCAGGAGAACCAAUCCUGGUGACUGAACCAGUCGAGAACAUAGAGGAAGAAGACAGAAACACAUAUACAGCCGAGCUACAGGUCGAUGAACCAACACAGCUGCUUGUGACUAGCCCUAGCCGUUCGCCUAUAAGGCUCCCAGAGAUUCCGUCAUUCUCAGAGUUUGUGAACCGUAGAAAGAUGAAGCAUUCUACCGAAGGUUCUGAUGGCAAGAAACCGUCAAAGGUAAUGAAGCUACAGUAAAAAUUGCAGCCAAGUCCUUGGAAUAUUUGUUUAUUACAGUAAUGUUCUUAGUUUUUGGUAAUUGGCCUAUUGUCUCUUCAAGUCGUAGCGUAGAGGAUACAUAGUUCAACCCGGUUCAAUAGACUUAAUUGGAAAUAAACCAG